UUUCAACAACGGAUCUCUUGGUUCUGGCAUCGAUGAAGAACGCAGCGAAAUGCGAAAAGUAAUGUGAAUUGCAGAAUUCAGUGAAUCAUCGAAUCUUUGAACGCACAUUGCGCCCGCCAGUAUUCUGGCGGGCAUGCCUGUCUGAGCGUCAUUUCAACCCUCAUGCCCCAGCGGUGUGGUGUUGGGGAUCGGCCUGAGCUAACGCCCGGGCCGUCCCCUAAAUCUAGUGGCGGACUCGCUGUAGCCUCCUCUGCGUAGUAGUGAUAUUUCGCACCGGAGAGCGGCGAGCCCCUGCCGUAAAACCCCAACUUCUAAGGUUGACCUCAGAUCAGGUAGGAAUACCCGCUGAACUUAA
rnacentral:sRNA from 1 species